GUGUCAGCAGCCGCGGUAAUACGGGGGGUGCAAGCGUUAAUCGGAGUUAUUGGGCGUAAAGGGUGCGUAGGUUGUUUAUUAAGUUAUGUGGGAAAUACCUAGGCUUAACCUAGGAAUGUCGGAUAAUACUGGUAAACUUGAGUAUAGUAGAGGGUAGUGGAAUUUCCGGUGUAGCGGUGAAAUGCGUAGAGAUCGGAAGGAACACCAGUGGCGAAGGCGGCUACCUGGACUAAUACUGACACUGAGGCACGAAAGCGUGGGUAGCAAACAGGAUUAGAUACCCUGGUAGUCCACGCUGUAAACGAUGUCAACUAGCUGUUGGGUAAAUAAAUUUACUUAGUGGCGCAGCUAACGCGUUAAGUUGACCGCCUGGGGAGUACGGUCGCAAGAUUAAAACUUAAAUGAAUUGGCGGGG
rnacentral:rRNA from 1 species